UACCACAUGUUCUCACUUAUAAGUAGAAGCUAAACAAUGGCACACAUAGACAUAAAGAUGGAAAAAAUAGACACUGGAGGCUCCAAAAGAGGGGAGGAUAAGAGGGUUGAAAAAUUACCUAUUGGUUGCUUGAAAUUGCUUAUAGGGGGAGGGUGUGCAACACAGAAAUCAACAAACACUACAAAUCAAAGAUUUUCUUGUUUUGCUAGAGAGUUUCUUAACCAGCACACCACUGCGGGAAGUCCUUACUUCUGAGCCUUCCCAAAGCUCUGUAGCACACAUCAACUGUUUCUUUCAUAUUCUCUUUCUGCAGAUUGUUCGAUUUCAGUUGUCCAUAUUCUGCUGUCAGUCACCAAUUAAUCUCCUUUCUUGAUCCUAGAAAGACUUGUUGACAUCUAUCACCAAUUGUCAUCUCCUCUCCCACCAAUCAGCCUAUAUUACUGAUAUGGUUUAGCUCUGUGUCCCAACCCAAAUCUCACCAUGAAUUGCAAUAAUCCCCACGUCAAGGGCAGGACAAAGUGGAGAUAAUUGAGCCAUGGGGUGGUUUCUCCCAUGCUGUUCUCGUGAUAGUGAGUUCUCAUGAGAUCUGAUGGUUUUAUAGGUGGCUUCCCCCUUCACUCAGCUCUCAUUCUUCUUCCCACUGCCAUGUGAAGAAGGACAUGUUUGCUUCCCCUUCUACCAUGAUUGUAAGUUUCCUGAGGCCUCCCCAGCCACGCUAAACUGUGAGUCACUUAAACCCCUUGCCUUUAUAAAUUACCCAGUCUCAAGUGUGUCUUUAUUAGCAGCAUGAGAACAGAUUAAUACAAUUACUUUUAUAUAGAAAAGAAAAUGGUUAUAUUUCAAUUUCAACAAUUCUUUGAAAAUAAAAUAACAUGAGAAUGAUUUAUCAUAUAAUUUACAUGACAUAAAUAUACAUGCGAUAGUGUUAAUAUACACAACUACACUUAAAUCUUGGCUUUGCCAUUUACUAGCUGUGUGAAUUAGAGAAAGAUACUUAACUUUUCUGGUGUUCAAUUUUUUUCAUUUGAUAAAUAGCAAGAACACUACCUAUCUUGCAUGGAUACAGUUUGAAAUGGAAAUGUGUAUAAAAUGAAAAUAAUAUACAUCAUGUGUAUUAAUGGCUCAUACCAGAUAGUCAGUAUACAGUUGAUAUUAUUAACAUAAACAUCAGUUAUAAUUUAAAAUUAUUUUGUAUAAAUAUAUCCUCUAAAAAUUUUUUAAACUAUCAUGCCUCAAGUCAAAUGAUGCAAAAGGAGGUUAACGAACUAUUAAAACAUCGUUUUGCUGCUAUUUCCUGGAGAAAAUAUGACUUAAUUAGUCAGACUGAAAUGGAUUAUUUUAAAGUGUAAGUAAUUUGCAGGUAUUAAUAGCUAGCAUUGCCCCUAGUAUGGUCCAGAUGGUCUUAUCAGGUCUUAUUGGGUUUCUUGUGCAUUAAAAAACAGAGUUUAAUGAGGCAAUCGUACCCUAAAGCAGGUUUGCAAUAAAUUCAACAAAUAUACUGGCACCUCUCCAAGUGUGUAAUAAACAACCUCCUCUGCUCCUUGCGGCAAAAGAAAAUACUCUUGACUCCAGAGCAUCACUUGCCUUCAGUGAACAGGGCUGUUGUAAAAAUGCUUUAGAGAGCAAAUGCCUUUAAAGAACUCAAAGACUUGGACAUUAUCAUUUCCAUUUGGUGACAGAAGGUCCAAAGAAGCAUCUUUCCUCACCUAUACGUAUCACUGAGUUGUGAGAGGAAAUGAAGAACAGACAUCGGUGGGGAGACAGAAGGAAAUGUUAGCAAGUGGAGGGGUUUUAUGAAGUCAGGAGGUAAAGAGAGAAAGAGAGAGAGAGGAAAAAGGAGGAGGACAAGGAGGAGAAAAAAUGAAGAAGAAGAAAGAAGGGAGAGAGGGAGGGUGGAUAGAGAAAUGCCCUCUCUUGGUUCUCAAUGUCUCAUCCACCUCCCUCAUCCAAACCACAGACUAAAGCAGGCAAGGAAGUGGCUCCACCUUCUCCAUUCCUUCAGAGGUCUGAAAUAUAUCAAUUAUGUCCAGCAGGGUGAUUAUUUUUUAAACCUAACAUAAGUAAGCCUUUCUGUUCUACUAGACUGUGCUCCUUAAGGGUGUAGAACAUGGCUCAUUCUUCUUUGCAUCAACAAUAUUUAACACUUCUCAGAUACAUACUAGGCAUCAAUAAAAAAAUUUUCUCAUUAAAACAUUUUAGGGCUUAUAUGCUCUAUUUUUUUUCCCUGAGGUCCACUGCUUAUACUGAACAUGAAAAAUUUAGCCUACAUGUUAAUAAAAUCUUAUAUUUGGUCCUGGAUCAUAAAAAAAAUAAGUUAAAAGCCCAUUUUCUAUAAGAAAUUUGGGUCUUCUGCUGAUGGACAGAGACGUUCUUCACUGAGACACACUUUGUGAAUUCGGGAGUGGUAAUCUCUACCCUCAGAGGGCAGUGGGGGUCAGUCAUUGAACUCUUAUUCUAAAAAAUAAAAACAUUAAAUAAAGUUAAAAUUAAGGAUGCUUUAUGGAAUUUCAGGGUUUCGAUGAUGUGUAAAGCUAAUGGCAACAGAGCAAAAUUUACUCCUUUAAGGAGAGGAGAGCCUGAACAUAUUUUUUAAAUAAGUAAAUAUCAAGUUAGAAAGGUUUGGAAAAUAGUUGUUAAAAUUAUAACAAAGCUCUCUACUUUUCUUUUAUCUUUUUCUGUUUUUGGAUAUUGGUCGACUAAAUUAAUUAUGUAACAAAAAUUCAAGUAGGGAUUUAAUUUGCCUCUGCUGGUAACUCCAGAUCUCUAGGGUCUCAUUUGCAGGAGUGCUCCUGAGGCACUAGGAGUGGAUGCUAAAGAAGACUUUUUCAGACCAGAAGGGGAGAAAAGGGCUGCCCAGCAUCCAUGGGUAAGAUAAGGUUGUCCCAGGUGGGGAAGAUUUUGAAAACAUCCUAAGGUGUUUUUACCUUAACAUCUUUUGAUAAGAGAAUCAAGAGCAUUUGAUUCUCUUUUGAUAAGAAAAUCAAAAGAUGUAAGCUAUUGGGGAUAUUCAAGUGGGGUCAGGGAGAGUCACAUGCCUUUCCUUCAUCUUCUAGUACAGUCUUGGGUAAGGUGCUCUGAGGUCUUCAAGGCAGUGUUGUCAUAUUGAAGGAGCAGACUGCAUGUUAGACACUGAAAAAGACCUCUGAUUACUCUGAGGAUGACACUGUCACCCACUCAGGGUCGAGCUGAGAAAACCUUGUCCAUGAGUUGUGAUGUAACUAUGCUUCAUCUUCAGAAGCCGUCGUGGUGGCUACAGCCAAACAGCAAGCCCAGAGGAGCAACAGGUAGGGACAAAGACACAAACAGAGGUAGCUAUAAAAGCAACAUCCACUGAAUGAGGCCAACAAACACCAAGGCAGCAGGAAAAUGAUUACCAAGAAGAAUGAGGUGCCAUUUCAUCAGAAGGAAGGAGAAAGGAUUGGGGUGUCAGCACCCUAGUAACUGUACUGGGUGGGUAUUAAGAUGCAAAGGCCAGAGCAUGAUCAAUAGUCUCAUUAGCUGUUUACAAUGCUAAAGUCACCAGGAGAAAUAAAAGUUGAAUGUCUAUUUAUUUAAUGGCAUUUGUUAAGCUCCUCAUCAAAUGAUGUGCCCAGUAUUGUGCUAGAUUCUGAAUAUGAAACGGUGAGAGGAAAAAAAUGUGCUUCCUGUCCUCCUUGAGCUAACAGUGUUGGGUCUAAAUAUUGCUUAUAAACAGUACUGUUGGUUUUGUGGUAGUGGAGAACCCAAACACUUCUGUAGUUUUAAGACUUGUCCAAUUAUGUAAUGGGCCACAGAUCACACACAAGAGAAUACUCAGAGACCUGUAUGGCAGAUUUCACAUCCAACCUAAAGAUUCACUGGCUUAACUUUGAGUACAGUCACUUGAAUUACUUACUGUUACUUGAAUUAGUUACUUGAAUAGCUACUAAAUAGGAACUGGUUUAAAUAGUCAUGACCUUGUGUAAACUGAAAACAGAAAUUCAUUAAUACUCCCAAUCUAAUUGCAUUUGGAAAAUACUUGCAGAAUCAUGGAGUUGGAAAGUCAUUAUCUACUCAAAGAGACAAUCCAGUCUCCUGCUUCUCUGUUUAUUUAUUCAUUCAUGUUGCAAAUCCUGAGUGAGUGCCUACUGCAUACCGGCAAUGUAAGUACAAAUCCCUCGCUCUAAUGAUACUUAAAUUCUAGUGUUAAAGACAGACAUAAGAAAACAAGAAAAAGUGAAUAAAUAAUUUUCCAGUCGCGUUAAGUGCAAUGAAGAAAAAAAAAUAAGAAAGCAGGGUAGUGGUUAGGGAAAGGAAGGAAGGGAAAGAAGGAAAAAAAUGCGGGAUGGAGGAAGAGAAAGAUGGGGCGGGCACUCUCUUACCCAGAGAGGGUCAGGAAGGCCUUCUCUUCGAGCAGAUACCUGUGCAUAAUGAGGGUCUGAGCCACGCAAAGAUCAGGGAGAAGAGCUUUCCAGGCAGAGAGAACAGGAGUGCAGGCCUGAAGCUAGACCAGGGCAGCCAAGGCAGAGUGAGGAGAAAAUUGUGGGAAAUGUUGCAGUCAGGGGCUAGAUCUGCACAGACCACCCUCAGACAUUUGCAUUUCUCUCUGUGUGUGUGUGUGUGUGUGUGUGUGUGUGUGUGUGUGUUCUUUUUAAAUGAUGAGAAGCUGUUGGAGUGACAGGACUUCUUUUCAGCUGCCAAGCUUUUUGUGUUUGCACUUUUCCUUAACGCUUCUUCCAGAUUAGGUUCUCCUUAAAUUCUGUUUGCGGCUGGAAGUGAUCCUAGACACCUCUGGCUCAGCUUCCCAACUCAUGCAGGAGAGGAACCUGAAGCUUAGAUAGAUUAUGGAACUCGCUCGAGAUCAUACAAGAAGUGGCAAUGCUGGGAUUUGAGCCCACGAUUGACAAAGCUUUUAUUCUUUGCAUUCUACCAUGCUGCCUCCAAAUAGGUCAAAUGACUAGAAAAAGAGAUUUAGGUUCAUAAUUGUCACUAUGCAUUUUUCCUACUAUGGGAACAAUUAUGAACAAUUCCAUAUGUGUCCAAUUUUAUAACAAUAAAGCGCAAAAGAACAUCUGUAUCUUUCUGUUGUAGGGUAGCAGCCUUGAAAUUUGUAUCUUGGUUUAUUGUAUUAGAUAUUUCUUGAAAUAAGCAGACCUUAAUUGAAAAGUGGAAAAUGUUUAUCAUAUCUAAUAUGAAUAUUUUUAAAUAAAUAAUUUUACUUAAGGAAUUUCCUAGAACCUGAAAUUGCUUUACUCUGUAUAAAUCUUAUUUAUACAUCAGUGUACUGUGGGAAGUUAAAAAAAUCUUAUUUAAAUACAGACAUAUAGCUAAACUGCAGAGAACAAAGCAUUAUUUCAGCGUUAUUUAUAAGUACUGGUACUUUUCUGUUGCUAUUUUUCUAACAGAAUCUGGCUCAGGACUGUCUCAUUUUCAUUUUCACCUCUCUGUCCUUGGUUUUGUUAAUUCCAUGUAUUUUAACUUUGCACUUCUUGAAGCAUAGCUGGCUCUCUCUCUCUCUCUCUCUCUCUCUCUCUGUGUGUCUUUCUCUGUCUCUCUCUCUCCCUCACACACAUACACCUGUGUGCACAUCUUCCACAGAAAAAUUAACUCCAUGGCAGAUAGUUGUGCAGAAUAGAAUACAUUUUGCCAGACCAACAAAUCAGAGACAAGCCAACUCUCAGGCUCCAGAUCCGGUGUCCCACUAACUCCUUUAUUUAGCUCAAUGCUGGAGUAACACACUUCAGAUAAAGAUUUUGCCCUGGUGGCUAUAGACUAUGAAUCUGCUACACUAGUCUUCACAAACCAAUAAGCACUAGGUAGCCGGACUAGAGCAUUAAAUGUUCAAGAUAUUGUCAUUCAAUCUCCAUAAUAAAUAGAUAACAAAGCCAAGGUCUUACUAAGGGGUUACUUGAUAGUUAGGAGGUGAAAUGAGACUAGAUCCCAGGUCUUCUUACCUCUAGGAAAAUUGUCUUCCUUCAAAACACCAUGCUUUCCCCUGAAUUUGAGAUCACAAAAAACAAAAACAAAAACAAAAAAACUAUGUCUUCUAGAAAUACCAGAAUUAGAACACAUCUAUAUGAAAAUCCUUGUCCUCUGAUAGCAGUCACCUGUGAUUUCCCGGGAUAGAGCUCAUUCCUCUUCCCCAUCUUCCCAGGCCAGUGAUAGUAACUUCUUUCCUUUGAAAUGCUGCAAUGCCUGUGAGCACUCACCUGUAGGGACUUCAGAAUUCAGAACAAAUCCUUGCUGAAAUGGAAGGGCGGCAGAAAGAACAUUGCCUCUUCCUGUGUAGAACUUUUAUGGGAUUUCUCCCAAGUGUGUAAUAUGUGUGUGGUGGUAUUUUACGAAACUUUCAUGAGAGUACUUCACUUCAGUUCUCCUCUGCCUUUUAUGGUAAUCCCGCUCCUAUUAUUUUUCUGUUAACUGAGAUUUUAUUUUUAAAUAUUAAAUUGUGAUUACGAAAAGAAGUUCUUUAUUCCCAGAGCCACACUCAUGUAUAUGUAACUUCUUCUGACUUAUGUGGAAGCAACUCCCACGUUGGAGUUUCAGCCCUGGUCCCAUAAUUUGCAAGCAUUAAAUGGAAGCCUCAUAUUGCAAUGCAAAUUAUAGUACCCAGGGACUGGCAGUAUAAUCACCCAGUUACAAAAAAAGGUAAAGAGGAGAUGAAAUUACCAUAAUGGGCCACAGAAAAUACACAAGAGAAUGUUCAGAGGCCUGCAUGGCAGGUUUCAUCACUAUUCUAAAGAUAUGCUUGCUUUCCUCUGAAAAUGUAAGGAAAGAUGUUGUUGGCUCCACCUUGAUGGAACUUGAUCUUCAGCUGCUUUUACGAUAGUGAUGGACUGGGCUGAAUUAUUCAUAUCUUCUCAUCCAAAGUGUGAAAUGGCUAACCAGGAUUUGGGAUCGUUUUAGAAGCUGAACUGCAAUGGACAAGUAGGUUGAAAUAUGGAAACAUGGGGAGUGAGAGAGAACAGCAUCUAGCAGGAGGAAGAGGAUCAUGCCAAGGUCUUGAGACAGGAAGCCCUGUUUGAAGAGAAGCACAGUCCAGCCAGGCUAGAGCUGGGGUGAGACAUUUCUGGCACAUAGUGAUUUCAACUGAAGUCCAGCUUAGAGCCUGGGCCCUGGACCCCAGUGAAUCAGCUCAUCUGAAGGGAGAGCUCCCUCUGAUACUUAAACAUCCCUGGGCCAGGGUUCUAGAAAGCCUGCUCUAAGGGGAAUGAAGGGAGACCUGAACUCUUCAAUAUCGAUUCUUAGGAUCUCUUCAAUUAGCGGCAAAUUACUAUUUUCCUAGCCUGAUACAUAAAAGAAUGCUGAACAUAGGAGGUUCUUACUGAAAUCAUUUGGAAACUGACAAGAAAAAAAGUAGGACUUUAAGAAAUAUUUUCCCUAAGAUUAUGACCUCACCAAUGCAAGUACUGGAUGGUGUUAUAAACAAAUGUUUGAAAGAUGACUUUAAAAUGAAGAUAUAAGUAAUUACAUAGUGAGGCUUACAGUUUACAGCUGAAAAAACAGCUGUUCUAUGGGUUCUUGUGACUUUUGAAAAUAUUUCCAGAGACACAAUCACAUCUGGACUCCAAAAAUACAGUGUCUUAAACACCACAGAACUGACCACGAUUUGCUCUAGAAAACAGUAUUAAUUCUACAGGAGGUUCCAGAGAUGACAAAGCCCCUGCCGUCAAAAUUACACAUAAGGAAUUUAAAUGGAACUGUUUGAUGAAAUGUGAGUGAUGAUAUUAAAUUCUAAAUUAGUAUCUUAUAUUUUAAGCAUGCAUGUAUAGCUAAAUUAAUAAUUUAAAUAUAGCUAGGUAGACAUUUGACUAUCUAUCAAUUAAAUUAGCUCCCCUCAAAAAAUGUUGAGAUUUAUGGAGAGGAUCUUCUAACUGGAAAAAAAAAAAAACACCACGGGGCUCUACUCUGAAUGCCAGGUUCCCUUAUAUUUCGACAUACGCAGUAUUUUGAGAGUAAACCCUGCAGGACUUGAUAGGUAGGUAGGAUGUUGAGUGAGGGAGGAGGAUAAGUCAGGUAAGUAGGUGGUGGUGUUACCAACUGAACUAGCCAAUGGUAGAGACACAGUUUCACAGGUGGUAGGGUGGGCAAAGGGAUAUUAAAAGCUCACUGCUGGCAAGUAGUUGAAAGAGAGUUAGUGUUGGUUUGGCUGCUCUGGUUGGCUCUGCCAUCCCAACCCUUCCCCAUGGCUGACCCUGAGGAGUUGCAAGUUUCUUUACCACCCCUGCUGCCUUCCUUUUCUCCCUUAACUUCAGACUUCUCUUCGGCAUCUUCCCUGAGCGCUCCCGUGAAUUUGAGCUGGCCAGUUCCAAGCAGGGACAGCAGCCAAAUGGUGGAUCCACUGGAGGAACAGCAGCUGCAGAUUGGAGAUGCAUUCUCAUUAACCACACUUUUUUGUUUUCAACUUUCCUUUUAGGUUCAAGGGGUCCAUGUUCAGGUUUGUUUGAUAAAUUGCAUGUUGUGGGCAUUUGAGUCACUCAGAUAAUUUUGUCACCCAGGUAAUCAGCCUAAUACCUGAUAGGUGGUUUUUCAGUCCUCACUCUCCUCUCACCCACCUUCACCCUUAAAUAGGCCCCAGAUCUAUUGUUCCCUUCUUUAUGUCCAUGUGUACUCAAUAUUUUGUUCCCACUUCUAAGUAAGAACAUGUGGUAUGUGGUUUUCUGUUUCUGCUUUAAUUCACUUAGGAUUAUAGACUUAGGAUAAUGGCAGCCAGCUGCAUCCAUGUUUCUGCAAAGGCCAUGAUUUCAUUCCUUUUUAUGGCUGUGUGGUAUUCCAUGGUAUAUAUGUACCACAUUUUUUUUAUCGAGUCCACCAUUGAUAGGCAUCUAAGUUGAUUACGUGUCUUUCCUAUUGAGAAGAGCACUAUGAACGAAACUUCUUGAAGCCCCAUUUGCAGUAUCAGCUCAAGUGGAAGAGUUUGCCUUCGGCUUGUCUACAGAAAAUGCACGUUUCCUGAAAACGUGGUGGGAACUCUUGAAAGAGGGCUAUGAUUCUUCCUCAAAACCUGACAGCUGAUUUGGCAUGCUUCAUUGUUUAAUAACGACGGUGCAAUAAUUCAUACUUCCUCAUAUAUGAUAUUUGCACACGUGCAAAAUGUAUAGGAUGAUCUCUUUCCAGCAUUUUUAUGUAUAAUCAGAAUGAAUUUUUUCUUGGUUUUCUUGACUUUUGAGAAAGCAGAAUUCUGAUGCUGUUUUUGAAGCUGACUAGUACUUGUUUAUCCUUAAAUACAUUCUGCCCUCUAAGCUUUUAUAGAAUCCUUUAUGAGAGUUAAUUUAAUCAGUAGAUAGUUAAUAUUAAUAGUGCCAUGGUGCUAUAAGCAACAAACUAGGUACACUAUUAUUUGUUUUGUAACAAGAUGCCAAGCAUGCCAGAGUUUGAAGUAGAGUUUAAUCUUAUGGACCAAGGGAGAUAACUUUAAGAUUGCCAAUGGUAGAUCCACCUCUAUUAGGCUAAGUUCUCUAGAACCAAUGACUGUGUCUUAUUUACUUCUCUGUCCUCAGCAUCUGAAACAGUGUCACACAACACUCACUAAAUGUAUGUUGAAUAAAAAAGUUGACAAACAUAAUUAAAUGCUAUUUUUUUUCCUAUACUUAGCAUGAAGACUAUAAUUGUUUCUCUAAAAAAAUGUAUAAAUCAGAACUUCAUUGACUUGAAGGAAAAUAUUCUCUUUUUUAUGGAAACUUGAACUUUGAUGGUAGCUUUAAAAAAUAUAUGAUAAAUAUUUUUUGCCCUUAUAUAAUUUUUUUAAAGUCUUUACUUCAGAAAAUAAAAGACUGUCUAGAAGGAAAUCUUUUUUUUUUUUUUUUUUUGAGACAGAGCCUCACUCUGUCUCACCAGGCUGGAGUGGUGCAAUGGCAUGAUCUCGGCUCACUGCAACCUCCGCCUCUUGGGUUCAAGCGAUUCUCCUGCCUCAGCCUCCCAAGUAGCUGGGACUACAGGUGCGUGCCACCAUGCCCAGCUAAUUGUUGUAUUUGUAGUAGAGACGAGGUUUCACCAUUUUGGCCAGGAUGAUCCUGAUCUCUUGACCUGGUGAUCCACCUGCCUCGGCCUCCCAAAGUGCUGGGAUUACAGGCAUAAGCCACCGCGCCAGGCCAGGAAUGCAUAUUUGAUAUGGUUUGGAUCUGUGUCCCACCCAAAUAGCAUGGUCAAUUGUAACCCCCAAUGUUGGAAGUGGGGCCUAGUAGGAGGUGACUGGAUCAUGGGGGUGGAGUUUUCAUGAAUGGCUUAGCACCAUCCCCCCAUGGUACUCUAUAGUGAGUGGGUUCUCACAAGAUCUGGUUGUUUAAAAGUUUGUGGCACCUCUCCUAUCUCUCUCUUCCUUCUACUCUGGUCAUGUGAAGACGCUUGCUUCCCCUUUGCUUUCCACCAUGAUUGAAACUUUCCUGAGGCCCCCCCACCGAAGCCAAGCAGCCUCAUGCUUCCUGUACUGCCUGCAGAACCAUGAGCCAAUGAAACCUCUUUUCUUUAUAAGUUACCCAGUCUCAGAUAUUUCUUUAUAGCAAUAUGAGAACAGGUUAAUACAAUAUUUUUCCCUGUUUAGUUCUAUGGUUACCGCUUUUAAUAUUUUUUAUAUUUGGUAUUUUUAUAUGUUUGAUUGCUGUCUUUAAAGUGCCUUAUUAAAAUCAUUGCUCUGUGCUAUUA